rnacentral:rRNA from 1 species
GCCAACCAACUAGCCCUCACCCCAAAAAACAACAGACCAAUAUUACCAACCACAAAGCACCAGCUUUGCUUAAACAAACCAUUUUUCCCCCUUAGUAGGAGCGACAGAAAAGGAACAACGGAGCGAUAGAGAAAGUACCGCAAGGGAAAGCUGAAAGAGAAAUGAAACAACUCUAAAAAGCUUAAAAGAGCAAAGUUUAACCCUCGUACCUUUUGCAUCAUGA